rnacentral:rRNA from 1 species
UACGUAGGGGGCGAGCGUUGUUCGGAUUUACUGGGCGUAAAGGGCGCGUAGGCGGCCCUCUUUGUCGCGUGUGAAAGCCCCGGGCUCAACCUGGGAAUUGCGCGCGAAACGGGGGGGCUUGAGUUCGGGAGAGGAGCGUGGAAUUCCCAGUGUAGAGGUGAAAUUCGUAGAUAUUGGGAAGAACACCGGUGGCGAAGGCGGCGCUCUGGACCGAGACUGACGCUGAGGCGCGAAAGCGUGGGGAGCAAACAGG